GUGAACGCUGGCGGGAGGCCUAACACAUGCAAGUCGAACGGCAGCACAGUAAGAGCUUGCUCUUACGGGUGGCGAGUGGCGGACGGGGGAGGAAUACAUCGGAAUCUACUUUUUCGUGGGGGAUAACGUAGGGAAACUUACGCUAAUACCGCAUACGACCUACGGGUGAAAGCAGGGGAUCUUCGGACCUUGCGCGAUUGAAUGAGCCGAUGUCGGAUUAGCUAGUUGGCGGGGUAAAGGCCCACCAAGGCGACGAUCCGUAGCUGGUCUGAGAGGAUGAUCAGCCACACUGGAACUGAGACACGGUCCAGACUCCUACGGGAGGCAGCAGUGGGGAAUAUUGGACAAUGGGCGCAAGCCUGAUCCAGCCAUACCGCGUGGGUGAAGAAGGCCUUCGGGUUGUAAAGCCCUUUUGUUGGGAAAGAAAAGCAGCAGGUUAAUACCCCGCUGUUCUGACGGUACCCAAAGAAUAAGCACCGGCUAACUUCGUG
rnacentral:rRNA from 1 species